rnacentral:rRNA from 1 species
ACUGCUCAGUAACACGUGGACAACCUACCCAAGAGUCAGGGAUGACCCCGGGAAACUGGGGAUAAUACCUGAUAGGCACGACAUCUGGAAUCGAGUCGUGGUUUAAACGCAAGGCUCUUGGAUGGGUCUGCGGCGGAUUAGGUUGUUGCCGGUGUAACGUACCAGCAAGCCUGUAAUCCGUACGGGUUGUGGGAGCAAGAGCCCGGAGAUGGAUUCUGAGACACGAAUCCAGGCCCUACGGGGCGCAGCAGGCGCGAAAACUCUACAAUGCAGGCAACUGCGAUAGGGGAACAUCGAGUGGCACCCACCAUGGGUGUCUGUCCAGCCGUCUAAAAAACGGCUGUUAGCAAGGGCCGGGCAAGACCGGUGCCAGCCGCCGCGGUAAUACCGGCGGCUCGAGUGGUGGCCGAUAUUAUUGAGUCUAAAGGGUCCGUAGCCGGCUUUGCAAGUCCCCUGGGAAAUCCAGCGGCUUAACCGUUGGGCUUUCAUGGGAUACUACAUUGCUUGGGACUGGGAGAGGUAGGAGGUACUCAGGGGGUAGGGGUGAAAUCCUGUAAUCCUCUGGGGACCACCGGUGGCGAAGGCGUCCUACCAGAACAGGUCCGACGGUGAGGGACGAAAGCUAGGGGCACGAACCGGAUUAGAUACCCGGGUAGUCCUAGCCGUAAACGAUGCUCGCUAGGUGUCACGGCAGUCGUGAAUUGUCGUGGUGCCGUAGGGAAGCCGUGAAGCGAGCCACUUGGGAAGUACGACCGCAAGGUUGAAACUUAAAGGAAUUGGCGGGGGAGCAC